rnacentral:misc_RNA from 1 species
UCCGGCUUAACGCCGGCAGUCCCCCUAGAGUGCCCAACUGAAUGGUGGCAACUAAAGGCAAGGGUUGCGCUCGUUGCGGGACUUAACCCAACACCUCACGGCACGAGCUGACGACAGCCAUGCAGCACCUGAACCGGCAGUCCCCGAAGGGAAAAUCCUAUUUCUAGGAUGGUCCGCCGUUGUCUAGCCCAGGUAAGGUGGGGAUGACGUGAGGAUAG